UGUUCGGGUUUACCCAUUGCAAUCAUUUGAGAAAACUCCCUGUAUUAAGCAUAUGCUCACAGCAAAAUCGAUUUUAGUCUUCAGUUGGUCUUGUUACAAGUCUGUCGUAAAAAAAGUAUCAAACUCAGAAAUGAAUUCCAAACUAUUCGCACUUUUCACCGUCACAUUGUUGGCUUUGGUCCAUUUCACGACUGCGACCGAGCCGGAAAAACCAGAAGAAAGGGGCAUGAUGGAUGCAAUCAUCGCGAUGGCGAAGGGAGCCUGGAUGAAAAUGUUUAGCAAGGCGGAAAAUGAGAGCGCUCCUAAGGGGGAGGCUCCAAUACCGCCUAUGUGUGUCACCGAUCCAUGCCCUACUCGAUAGUGAAUUGUGAUAAUCUUUAAUAAUAAAAAUAAUCGGCUUGUAGUGUUAA